AGCUGACGCCGACCACGCUGCAGUUGUAGCUGGACGACGGCAUCAGGCCGGAAACGGUCAGCACGUGCGAGCUGGACACCUGAGGCUCUCGAGUCUGAAGCGGACCAAGAAGGAGCAGCACCUGGUAGUGGUCCACGACGCCGUCCUCGCUCCACAACAGAGUCACCGACGAGUGCGUGGCGUUGACGGCGUACACGGACCUGGGGGGCGCCGGUUCUGCGGGUGAAAACACGCCGGACGCCCUUUGUCAGAAUCAGUUUUGAACAAGCGGCAAGCAAGGCCGGUCACGUAAAAUGACAUUGAGGGCCAGAUUGGAGCUUGUCUUGGGUUGGACUUGGGAAACCAAAAGUCCACGGCGACACACCGAGGUAGAAGCUCGGCGAAGAACUCAUGAGUACUUUCAUCCACGCUGGCCGUUUGAGUGGUGUUCCCUGGACACAGGUGGAAGGAAGUCACAUUUAUGCGAGGAGACCCACGCUGUAGAUGAGACCAUGGAAGGACGUGUUGAACAGCAGGGGCUCGCCAGUCCCCCCAAACAGGAUCACGGCGGGACGAGGCUCCCCGGUGAUC